GUUGGGAGCAAGGAUUUGGCUUUAUUUCUCAUGGUAGCUCUGUUUGGAAUGGAGAUAAGCUGUACAAAAAAGAUCGUUUGCAUCUUUCUCAAAAGGGAACAAAUGUUCUCAGUGAGCAGUUCAGAGGUUUUGCUAGGAUGUAUUUAAACUAGGAGGGGGGGGCAAAAGGGUGAUAAAACAUCAAUCCAAUUGUCCCCCAAAACAAGGACAGAAGGUGCCUGUAGCAAGUGUG